rnacentral:rRNA from 1 species
GCAUCUUUUAUCUUUUAAAAGACCUAGUAAUAGGUAUGCUUUAGGAGGGGCUUGCGCCAUAUUAGUUAGUUGGUAGGGUAAUGGCCUACCAAGACGAUGAUGUGUAGCUGGACUGAGAGGUUGAACAGCCACAUUGGGACUGAGACACGGCCCAAACUCCUACGGGAGGCAGCAGUAGGGAAUUUUCGGCAAUGGAGGAAACUCUGACCGAGCAACGCCGCGUGAAUGACGAAGUACUUCGGUAUGUAAAGUUCUUUUAUCAAGGAAGAAAAGCAAAUGGCGAACCAUUUGUUUGCCGGUACUUGAUGAAUAAGCCCCGGCUAAUUAUGUGCCAGCAGCCGCGGUAAGACAUAAGGGGCAAGUGUUAUCCGGAAUUAUUGGGCGUAAAGGGUGCGUAGGCGGUCUAGUAAGUCAGUGGUGUAAUGGCAACGCUUAACGUUGUCCGGCUAUUGAAACUGCUAAACUUGAGUUAGAUAGAGGCGAGUGGAAUUCCAUGUGUAGCGGUAAAAUGCGUAAAUAUAUGGAGGAACACCAGAGGCGUAGGCGGCUCGCUGGGUCUUAACUGACGCUGAGGCACGAAAGCGUGGGGAGCAAACAGGAUUAGAUACCCUGGUAGUCCACGCCGUAAACGAUGAGUACUAAGUGUCGGGUUAAACCGGUACUGAAGUUAACACAUUAAGUACUCCGCCUGAGUAGUACGUACGCAAGUAUGAAACUUAAAGGAAUUGACGGGACUCCGCACAAGCGGUGGAUCAUGUUGUUUAAUUCGAAGAUACCCGAAAAACCUUACCAGGUCUUGACAUGUUUUUGCAAAAUGAUAGUAAUAUCGUGGAGGUUACCAGAAACACAGGUGGUGCAUGGUUGUCGUCAGCUCGUGUCGUGAGAUGUUAGGUUAAGUCCUAAAACGAGCGAAACCCUUAUCGUUAGUUGCCAGCACGUUAUGGUGGGGACUUUAACGAGACUGCCAAUGAUAAAUUGGAGGAAGGUGAGGAUCACGUCAAAUCAGCAUGCCCCUUAUGACCUGGGCUACAAACGUGAUACAAUGGCUGUUACAAAGGGUAGCUGAAACGCAAGUUCUUGGCCAAUCCCCAAAAACAGUCCCAGUCCGGAUUGAAGUCUGCAACUCGACUUCAUGAAGUUGGAAUCGCUAGUAAUCGCGAAUCAGCAUGUCGCGGUGAAUACGUUCUCGGGGUUUGUACACACCGCCCGUCAAACCACGAAAGUUGGCAAUACUUCAAAACGGUAACCUAAGUC